GUUCAUCAACAACAAUAUCUUACUUCCGCCUAACUAAAGAACUCUAUUAUGUGCGAAUACACAGGGUAAAAGUUCAGAGUUCAUAGCCUUCUUUCCACACUUGCAUUUAGAUGCCCUCUUUGACAAACCUCUUGUAUGAUAGUCUUGAUACCAGUGUUGCACCUCUAGCUCUUUCUUGGAAUACCCUCAAGUUUUUUUCCUUCCAAAUGUGGUAUACAAAUUUAACAGCUAUCAUUAUGA
rnacentral:lncRNA from 1 species